GCAGCAGUGGGGAAUAUUGGGCAAUGGAGGAAACUCUGACCCAGCGACGCCGCGUGCGGGAUGAAGGCCUUCGGGUUGUAAACCGCUUUCAGCAGGGAAUAAGCGCAAGUGAAGGUACCUGCAGAAGAAGCACCGGCUAACUAUGUGCCAGCAGCCGCGGUAAUACAUAGGGUGCAAGCGUUGUCCGGAAUUAUUGGGCGUAAAGAGCUCGUAGGUGGUUUGUUACGUCGGUUGUGAAAUUCAGGGGCUCAACCCCUGACUUGCAGCCGAUACGGGCAAGCUAGAGUUUGGUAGGGGAGACUGGAAUUCCUGGUGUAGCGGUGGAAUGCGCAGAUAUCAGGAGGAACACCGAUGGCGAAGGCAGGUCUCUGGGCCAAUACUGACACUGAGGAGCGAAAGCGUGGGGAGCGAA
rnacentral:rRNA from 1 species